rnacentral:rRNA from 1 species
GACGAACGCUGGCGGCGUGCCUAAUACAUGCAAGUAGAACGCUGAAGGAGGAGCUUGCUUCUCUGGAUGAGUUGCGAACGGGUGAGUAACGCGUAGGUAACCUGCCUGGUAGCGGGGGAUAACUAUUGGAAACGAUAGCUAAUACCGCAUAAUAGUAGAUGUUGCAUGACAUUUGCUUAAAAGGUGCAAUUGCAUCACUACCAGAUGGACCUGCGUUGUAUUAGCUAGUUGGUGGGGUAACGGCUCACCAAGGCGACGAUACAUAGCCGACCUGAGAGGGUGGUCGGCCACCCUGGGACUGGGGCACGGCCCAGGAUCCUACGGGAGGCAGCAGGAGGGAAUCUUCGGCAAUGGACGGAAGUCUGACCGAGCAACGCCGCGUGAGUGAAGAAGGUUUUCGGAUCGUAAAGCUCUGUUGUAAGAGAAGAACGAGUGUGAGAGUGGAAAGUUCACACUGUGACGGUAUCUUACCAGAAAGGGACGGCUAACUACGUG